CAUGGCCAAUGUCACUGGUCCAUAGACCAGGCUUUGAGUACUGAAGUUCUAGAAUGCAAAUGAGCAGGCAAAGGCGUGUUCAUGUGUUGCAACCUUAAGGAAUCAGUCAUGAGAACUUGAACCAGAGAUGACCAAACCAAGGCCCAGAGAAGUUAAGUGACUUGGCCAAGGCCACACAACUAGUGAAUGAUGUCACUGGAAUUAGAACCCAUAUCUCUUGGCACCUAAUUCAAUACUGUUUCUGUCACUGACGUGUUUCCUGAGCACCCAAUAAAUGGUAAUUAUGUAU